UGGGGAAUAUUGGACAAUGGGCGCAAGCCUGAUCCAGCCAUGCCGCGUGAGUGAGGAAGGCCCUAGGGUUGUAAAGCUCUUUCACCGGUGAAGAUAAUGACGGUAACCGGAGAAGAAGCCCCGGCUAACUUCGUGCCAGCAGCCGCGGUAAUACGAAGGGGGCUAGCGUUGUUCGGAUUUACUGGGCGUAAAGCGCACGUAGGCGGACUAUUAAGUCAGGGGUGAAAUCCCGGGGCUCAACCCCGGAACUGCCUUUGAUACUGGUAGUCUUGAGUUCGAGGGAGGUGAGUGAAAUUCCGAGUGUAGGGGUGAAAUUCGUAGAUAUUCGGAGGAACACCAGUGGCGAAGGCGGCUCACUGGCUCGAUACUGACGCUGGGGUGCGAAGGCGUGGGGAGCAAACAGG
rnacentral:rRNA from 1 species